GGAUAGCUCAGUCAGUACAGCGUGAGACUCUUAACCUCAAGGUCAUGGGUUCGAGCCCCACGGUGGGCA